CCCUGACAUGCUAUUUACCGUUGUCGAUCAAAGCUCGGUCUUUAGCUUGCUCGCCGGGUUUUGCUGGGCUCCUGCAGAAAACCCAUGAACAAGCACGAGCCCAUGAAGAAGCUGCCGCAGGGGGCUGCGAGAUAAAGAUGCUGGCCGGAUUGCCGGACAGCGCUCCCUGUAUACCACUCAGCGCUGAGCAGGCAGGCACCGGUACAUCAAGAAACUGUCAAUUAUUUCCGGGCAAAAACAGAUUCUGCCAGCCGUAAUGCAGUACAGACAUGCCAUCUCGUCAGGAACGAGAAGGGGUCCCCAGGGUGUUUAAUGAUUCCUGAACGCUUUGCAUGAUUAGGCCUGUAGCUCCAAUAGCUCCUGUCUCCACAACGCACUCUGCUUGGAUCCAGUGCAGUAGCGCAGAUCGGUUGCCCAGAUCCAAACGGCAGAUCACCCGCCUUUUCUUUGGUUUCUCUCAUUGGUGCAGCAAAAGCUGGAGCGGUGUUAUAAGCCUAAGGUGUAGGUCAGUGGAGCUAGUCAGCUUGGCUUGCAUUGCAUGAUACUAGGAUUAGGAGCUACAAUUAUUGGCAGCACAAGUUAUGGAAACGCUUAAUUAGGCAGGCCAGGCCUGAGCCUGAACGCUCCAACCAUUUCCUCUAUAUAAGUAGCUAUCAACUCAUCCAGUGCUGACCUACAUCCUUAGUUAUUACAAGGGCAGUAGAAUGGCAGAUCUUGUCGUGGUGUGUCAUUGUGAAAAUGGCAGCAAGAAAGCAAUACUAGCUCACUUCAUGCAUUAAUAUCACUACUUACAACACGAGAAAAACCA